GUCCAGACUCCUACGGGAGGCAGCAGUAGGGAAUCUUCCGCAAUGGGCGAAAGCCUGACGGAGCAACGCCGCGUGAGUGAUGAAGGUCUUCGGAUCGUAAAACUCUGUUAUUAGGGAAGAACAAAUGUGUAAGUAACUAUGCACGUCUUGACGGUACCUAAUCAGAAAGCCACGGCUAACUACGUGCCAGCAGCCGCGGUAAUACGUAGGUGGCAAGCGUUAUCCGGAAUUAUUGGGCGUAAA
rnacentral:rRNA from 1 species